rnacentral:rRNA from 1 species
GACGAACGCUGGCGGCGUGCUUAACACAUGCAAGUCGAACGGUAAGGCCCUUCGGGGUACACGAGUGGCGAACGGGUGAGUAACACGUGGGUGAUCUGCCCUGCACUUCGGGAUAAGCCUGGGAAACUGGGUCUAAUACCGGAUAGGACCACUGCCUGCAUGGGUGGUGGUGGAAAGCUUUUGCGGUGUGGGAUGGGCCCGCGGCCUAUCAGCUUGUUGGUGGGGUGAUGGCCUACCAAGGCGACGACGGGUAGCCGGCCUGAGAGGGUGACCUGCCACACUGGGAAUGAGAUACGGCCCAGACUCCUACGGGAGGCAGCAGUGGGGAAUAGUGCACAAUGGGCGCAAGCCUGAUGCAGCGACGCCGCGUGAGGGAUGACGGCCUUCGGGUUGUAAACCUCUUUUAGUAGGGAAGAAGCGAAAGUGACGGUACCUGCAGAAAAAGCACCGGCUAACUACGUGCCAGCAGCCGCGGUAA